GACGAACGCUGGCGGCGUGCUUAACACAUGCAAGUCGAACGGUAAGGCCCUUCGGGGUACACGAGUGGCGAACGGGUGAGUAACACGUGGGUGAUCUGCCCUGCACUUCGGGAUAAGCCUGGGAAACUGGGUCUAAUACCGGAUAGGACCACUGCCUACAUGGGUGGUGGUGGAAAGCUUUUGCGGUGUGGGAUGGGCCCGCGGCCUAUCAGCUUGUUGGUGGGGUGAUGGCCUACCAAGGCGACGACGGGUAGCCGGCCGGAGAGGGUGACCGGCCACACUGGGACUGAGAUACGGCCCAGACUCCUACGGGAGGCAGCAGUGGGGAAUAUUGCACAAUGGGCGCAAGCCUGAUGCAGCGACGCCGCGUGAGGGAUGACGGCCUUCGGGUUGUAAACCUCUUUCAGCACCGACGAAGCGCAAGUGACGGUAGGUGCAGAAGAAGGACCGGCCAACUACGUGCCAGCAGCCGCAGUAA
rnacentral:rRNA from 1 species